GAAAUGCGAUAAGUAAUGUGAAUUGCAGAAUUCAGUGAAUCAUCGAAUCUUUGAACGCACAUUGCGCCCCCUGGCAUUCCGGGGGGCAUGCCUGUUCGAGCGUCAUUACACCACUCAAGCCUGGCUUGGUAUUGAGCUCCGCGGCCUGCCCGCGCGCUCCAAUGUCUCCGGCUGAGCCGUCCGUCUCUAAGCGUUGUGAAUAGCGAUCGCUUGCGAGGCCCGGGCGGUUCGACGCCGUUAAACCCCCCAUUUUCUAUGGUUGACCUCGGAUCAGGUAGGGAUACCCGCUGAACUUAAGC
rnacentral:misc_RNA from 1 species